rnacentral:rRNA from 1 species
AAUAGCCUAACGGCUGAACCAGCAACUUGGAGGAACGUAUAGCGAAAGCUAGUUGCAUUUAAUUUAGCGAAAGCUAAACUGGUGCAGAAUUGAUUCUAUCAAAUAAAGUUCUAGACAGGUUAUGAUGAUGACAUUUCCUAUCUAUGUGUCUUGACCAAAUUACGUGCCAGCAGUCGCGGUAACACGUAGAAGACUAGUGUUAUUCAUCUUUAAUAGGUUUAAAGGGUACCUAGACGGUAAAUCCAGUCCAAAAAGGAUACUAAUUUGCUAGAGUUUAAUGUGAGGGGGCACUAAAGUACUGAUAAGUGUAGAGAUGAAAUUCUGUGAUACAAUAUAAGGACAGGUAAAGGCGAAAGCAUCUCAUUAUGUAAUAACUGACGUUGAGGGACGAAGGCUAGGAGAAGCAAAAAGGAUUAGAUACCCAAGUAGUCUUAGCAGAAAAUUAUGAAUGUCAUAGGAUGGAAAUAGUGGAUAACCAUUUUUUUUUCUAUAAAUGAAAGUGUAAGCAUUCCACCUCGAGAGUAAUUUGGCAACAUUGGAACUGAAAUCAUUAGACCGUUUCUGAAACAAGUAGUGAAGUAUGUUGUUUAAUUUGAUGGUCCGCAAAAAACCUUACCACAAUUUGAAUAGAAAUUUUUAUUUUUUACAAGCGCUGCACGGUUGUCUCCAGUUAAUGUCGUGAGAUCUUGGUUAGUUCCAUUAAAUUAACGUAAACCCUUACUUUAUUUAUAUAUAGAGUAGUUCACCGCUAGAUUGGAUGUGAUAACAGGGACUAAGACAAGUCAUCAUGGCCUUAAUAUUGUGGGCUAUAGACGUGCCACAUAUGCCUUAC